UUGAUCAAAUCUGCCCUAUACGAAUGGAGAGGAAACCUCAGUCAUCAACUUGUCUGAAAGCUAGAAAACAGCAGUACCCGUGGACUUCUGUGCGAUGAAGUACAGGCAAUAGUUACUCCAUCCAUUUGAUGUGCAUCUGUCCGCUACUUUCGUCUCUCCUGGCUUCCCUCUCGUCGGUACCUCCUUGCGCGGCGUCGCCCCUGCUAGGACCCCCCGCCCCGCCGCCGCCCCCAGGCUGCCCUGGCCUUCGACCUACGGCCCGGUCCUAACCCUAGCCAUUGGGGUGUCCUUGGAGGUGGCUGUGCCGUGUCGACAAGAAGGAGCAGGCGGGCGCACGGAGUCCGCGCUGUCCCUCUACGGCCGAGCCUCCGCAGUGCCAAGCAGUUUGGCAGCAUCCGCGUACCUAGGUCGGGGGCGUUGCACGUAGAACCCACCUUGAAGCUGGCGGUGGAGACGGUGAUGUAUCCGGGCGCCUCCGCGGCGGCGCCAUGGCAGUGGGGCAAGAAACCGAGUGCGCCGGCUCGCAGGAGCAGUGGCAAAUGGCAAGAGGAGGCGCGCGCGGCGCGCCACGGGGAGGAGCUCAUGGCGCGAGCCUCGGUUCGGCUCGGAUGGGACCAAUCAGCCCGCCGUCCCCGGCGGCGUGAGGCACGGGCCGUGCGCCCCCUCGCGGACGUCCUCGCUAGCGACGCCGUCAGUCGCCGAGACGCUGCGUGGGGACCAGCGGUGGGCGGAGUACAUCCUGAGGAGGGUGUCGGGCGCCGGCGCGCAGCAGCUGUUGGAAUCCAAGGCGGCGGCGGUGCCGGUGAACUGGGGCUAGGAGAUCGGCACGAUCUCAACUACGUGGUGACGGCGAGCCUCGGCACGCCGGGCGUGGCGCAGAUGCUGGAGGUGGACACCGGCAGCGACCUGUCGUGUGUGCAGUGCAAGCCGGGCGCGCGCGGCGUCGUCGUGCUUCAGAAAGAAGGACCCGCUCUUCGACCCCUUCCCAGUCCUCGUCGUACGCCGCCGUGCUGUGCGGCGGGUCCGCGUGCUCGGGGCUGGGCAUCUACGCGUCCGGGUGCUUGGCGGCGCAGACGCGCGCGCAGUGCGGGUACGUGGUCAGCUACGGCGACGGGCCCAACACAACGGGCGUGUACAGUACAGCUCCGACACGCUGACGCUGAUGGCGACGGACGCGGUGGCGCGGUGCUCGGAUUCCUCUUCGGGUGCGGCCACGCGCAGAGGGUCUGUUCACCGGCAUCGAUGAGCUCCUCGGCCUCGGCCGCCUGCCGGUGUCGCUGGUGGGGCAGGCGGCGGGCGCGUACGGCGGGGCCUUCUCCUACUGCUUCCCGACGAAGCCGUCCACCUUGGGGUACCUGACGCUGGGCGGCGGUGCGAAUGCCGCGGCGCCGGGGGUUCGCGACGACGCAGCUGCAGCGCGUGACUCCACGGUGAUCCGUCCCUGCUGCUCUGCUAUACUGUAUGGGUCUCCGUUCUUCAGACGCUUCAGGAGUCAUAAGGGACCUUUUUGUUCCUGAACUUAAAAGGAAAUGGAGCUACAGGUCUUGCUAUCUCAUUACUUGGUGUUAUGGUGAUGCCGUAAGCUUCUUGAUUAUAUUUUUGUUCCCAUCCAUUUGAUGUUGAACACAAAACUAUUUUUCCAUUUAUCUUUCAUAUAAAUUGUAGGCAUAAUCUUUUUCUGUACUCAGCAUUAGUGGUAUCAAGAAAAAUGCAGGUCCAUUCAUGGGAUUAAAUUAACCUCUAAACCCUUCUUUCAGCUAUUAUUGAUAUGACAUCCCAUAUGUGCCAAAUUCCUCCAACCCUGCUAUUGUGCCACACUAGAGUUGAGUCGGUCCGAUUGGUUGAGAAGAUAUCUAAUGCUAAUUUCAAGUAUGAAAACGCAAAAGCCUUAAUAUGAAAUUUGCUCCCAACAGUUCAGUUUCUUGCAUGAGGCAUGUAGUUUCUCUGAAAUUGAAAGUGCAUUUGCUCUUAUGGUACCUUUCCUCGUCAACAUAUCUAUCAUAUCAGUUAGUGGUGUUGUAUGUGGUUUAGGUAGUUUUGAACGCUGAAGAUCAGGCAAACUUGAUCUGAACCAGGCUUCAUUUUUAUUAAAAUUGGUAAAUUUUGUCUUCAUAUUGUUGUACAGCACUUAAAAAUGAAAAUAUUAGAUGGAUUGUUUUGCUAUACUUCAUUUUUUUCACUCAGGUUUAUUUCUCAUUCUUUCCUUUUUUUUUGGUGCAUUGAAGGAGCUUUGCCUCAUUUGACUAAUAGGAAAGCAGAAACUAUAAACACCAACUCAUGGACAAAAACAUUUCUGAUGCACCAACUAGGCAGAUAUGCAUCAGUUCUCAGAUGUUUUUUGUUGAGUCUAAAUUUCUUUUGUAUACGGGUUUGUAGAACAUUAUCUCUUCUUUCUUGUGAUAGUCCUAGCUUCACGUAAAAGUUGCAACCGGAGUUACACAGUUUCCUACCAUCGGCUAUUUAAGCUGGUCUAACCCACUCACAUCUAGUAGUAUGGCACUAAAGCCUGUGCUGCUGCUAGCACUGCUAGCACGCACGCACACCACUUUUGGCCCAAGUGGCCCGGCCCAUGGGCUGUUACACCUGAUUCAUAUCUUAGCCGUUUGUAUUCAAUUUUACCCAGUUGAUCUUGCAUGUUGACGAUUUUUAUUGAGGUAAUUCUUGAUCCCCAUGUUUCCCAAAUACCUAAACCAUGAAUGAGUGCACACUCUAAUUAUCCUUAUAGAAGAAGGAUCCUGAUAUUUUUUUUUCUUAUGAUGUCAGUGACCACUUAAUCUGAAUCUUCGGCAUUAGCAAACAAUAUUCAUAUUCAUUAGUUAAUGGAUGCUAUUAGAUAUUGCAGUCAGAAUGGAGUCUAUCACAAGGAACUCCAGGUAGUUCGGGAAUUCGGAUCAUUCAACAACUACUAUUGGAGCUUUGUGAACCACAAGCCCAUCACAAACUGUUUCUUCUAUGCUCGCCAAAUAUCUACAAAGACUCCGAAAGUUGAAGCUAUAAGCAAGGACCUGAUGCGCUGAGGGUUCCAGUGUGUCGGCCCCACAACAAUCUACUCCUUCUGCCCUUCAUGCAGGUUGGGAUCGUUUACAACCAUUUAUGAUAUGAUGUUGCUUCAGGUUAUUUUAAGGCCUACAGCCAACAUCCCAACACAGGCCCAAUGAAAAAUAAUGGAGAACUAACAGAACCAGCAUAGCCUGAUAGAAGGUUGAGCUCACCAUCUUCUGAAGAUUCAAAUAGCAUGUAGACACCGGAGGUGUAACUUGCUGAAGUCAGCCUGAAUUAUUGUUUUUAUAUGUGAUAGUCAUGGCAGUUUGACAGUGCAUCAGGAUGCUAUUGAGAUUGGGCGGCUUUGUGGUGUGGUGUGGUGUGCUUUCUGCUUUCUCACAUGUAUAAUAUUGGUAUGGCAGAAUGCAGUUUGAUGUAAACCGACUCCUGUUGCGUUUUUUUCAAAAUGUACGCUGCCUGGUGUGUAUGUACAAAUGAUCAUGCAGUAUACAAUGUUCUAGCAGUUCGCCGUUUCAUGGCUGACCUUGCAUCUGAUUACCUA